rnacentral:rRNA from 1 species
ACACGUAGGGGGCAAGCGUUGUUCGGAAUUACUGGGCGUAAAGGGCAUGUAGGCGGUUUUGUAAGCCUGACGUGAAAGGCUGCAGCUUAACUGUAGCACUGCGCUGGGAACUGCGAGACUGGAGUCACGGAGAGGUAGCUAGAAUUCCAGGUGUAGGGGUGAAAUCUGUAGAUAUCUGGAAGAAUACCAAUGGCGAAGGCAAGCUUCUGGCCGAUGACUGACGCUGAGGUGCGAAAGCGUGGGUAGCAAACAGGAUUAGAUACCCUGGUAGUCCACGCGGUAAACGAUGCACACUAGGUGCCGGGGCGGACGCUUCGGUGCCGGAGCUAACGUGGUAAGUGUGCCGCCUGGGGAGUAUGCUCGCAAGGGUGAA